CCUACGGGUGGCAGCAGUGAGGAAUAUUGGUCAAUGGACGAGAGUCUGAACCAGCCAAGUAGCGUGAAGGAUGACUGCCCUAUGGGUUGUAAACUUCUUUUAUAUGGGAAUAAAAUGUUCCACGUGUGGGAUUUUGUAUGUACCAUAUGAAUAAGGAUCAGCUAACUCCGUGCCAGCAGCCGCGGUAAUACGGAGGAUCCGAGCGUUAUCCGGAUUUAUUGGGUUUAAAGGGAGCGUAGGUGGAUUGUUAAGUCAGUUGUGAAAGUUUGCGGCGCAACCGUAAAAUUGCAGUUGAAACUGGCAGUCUUGAGUACAGUAGAGGUGGGCGGAAUUCGUGGUGUAGCGGUGAAAUGCUUAGAUAUCACGAAGAACUCCGAUUGCGAAGGCAGUUCACUGGACUGCAACUGACACUGAGGCUCGAAAGUGUGGGUAUCAAACAGGAUUAGAUACCCGUGUAGUC
rnacentral:rRNA from 1 species